UGCCUAAGGCAUGCAAGUCGAGGGAAGUAUUCCCGCAAGGGAAUUACUACCGGCAGACGGGAGAGUAACACAUUGGUAAUCCACCUCCAAGACGGGGAUAGCUUUCCGAAAGGAAAAUUAAUACCCGAUAGUCACGCGGGGACGUAAGUCAUUCGCGUGUAAAUCUUUUUUGGCUUGGAGAGGAGCCUAUGUUCUAUCAGCUAGUUGGUGAGGUAAUGGCUCACCAAGGCUAUGACGGAUAGGGGACGUGAGAGCGUGAUCCCCCUCACUGGGACUGAGAACUGCCCAGACUCCUACGGGAGGCUGCAGUCAGGAAUAUUCCGCAAUGGACGAAAGUCUGACGGAGCGACGCCGCGUGCAGGAUGACGCCCUUCGGGGUGUAAACUGC
rnacentral:rRNA from 1 species